UCUACUUUGGUGUUACAGCACGUGAAAUUUUGAUUUUUAAGGUAGUUUUAAGUAGAA
rnacentral:tRNA from 1 species